GACGAACGCUGGCGGCGUGCCUAAUACAUGCAAGUCGAACGCAGUGGGGACGGUUGAGUAACACGUGGGUAACCUCCCAUACGAGGGGAUAACACUUGGCAACUGGUGCUAAACUGAUAUUGAUGGAUGGACCCGCGGUGCAUGAGCUAGUUGGUGAGGUAACGGCUCACCAAGGCAACGAUGCUUAGCCGGCCUGAGAGGAUGAGCAGCAACACUGGGACGAAGACACGGCCCAGACUCCUACGGGAGGCAGCAGUAGGGAAUCUUCGGCAAUGGACGAAAGUCUGAUCGAGCAACGCCGCGUGCGUAAAGAAGGUUUUCGGAUCGUAAAACACUGUUAUUAGGGAAGCGGUAUCUAACCAAAAAGCAACGGCUAACUACGUGCCAGCAGCCGCGGUAAUAC
rnacentral:rRNA from 1 species